AAUUCGCCCUUAGAGUUUGAUCCUGGCUCAGGACGAACGCUGGCGGCGCGCCUAACACAUGCAAGUCGAACGAGCGAGAGAGAGCUUGCUUUCUCGAGCGAGUGGCGAACGGGUGAGUAACGCGUGAGGAACCUGCCUCAAAGAGGGGGACAACAGUUGGAAACGACUGCUAAUACCGCAUAAGCCCACGGUGCCGCAUGGCACAGAGGGAAAAGGAGCAAUCCGCUUUGAGAUGGCCUCGCGUCCGAUUAGCUAGUUGGUGAGGUAAUGGCCCACCAAGGCGACGAUCGGUAGCCGGACUGAGAGGUUGAACGGCCACAUUGGGACUGAGACACGGCCCAGACUCCUACGGGAGGCAGCAGUGGGGAAUAUUGCACAAUGGGGGAAACCCUGAUGCAGCGACGCCGCGUGGAGGAAGAAGGUCUUCGGAUUGUAAACUCCUGUUGUUGGGGAAGAUAAUGACGGUACCCAACAAGGAAGUGACGGCUAACUACGUGCCAGCAGCCGCGGUAAAACGUAGGUCACAAGCGUUGUCCGGAAUUACUGGGUGUAAAGGGAGCGCAGGCGGGAAGACAAGUUGGAAGUGAAAUCUAUGGGCUCAACCCAUAAACUGCUUUCAAAACUGUUUUUCUUGAGUAGUGCAGAGGUAGGCGGAAUUCCCGGUGUAGCGGUGGAAUGCGUAGAUAUCGGGAGGAACACCAGUGGCGAAGGCGGCCUACUGGGCACCAACUGACGCUGAGGCUCGAAAGUGUGGGUAGCAAACAGGAUUAGAUACCCUGGUAGUCCACACCGUAAACGAUGAUUACUAGGUGUUGGAGGAUUGACCCCUUCAGUGCCGCAGUUAACACAAUAAGUAAUCCACCUGGGGAGUACGACCGCAAGGUUGAAACUCAAAGGAAUUGACGGGGGCCCGCACAAGCAGUGGAGCAUGUGGUUUAAUUCGACGCAACGCGAAGAACCUUACCAAGUCUUGACAUCCCUUGACAGGCAUAGAAAUAUGUUUUCUCUUCGGAGCAAGGAGACAGGUGGUGCAUGGUUGUCGUCAGCUCGUGUCGUGAGAUGUUGGGUUAAGUCCCGCAACGAGCGCAACCCUUAUGGUCAGUUACUACGCAAGAGGACUCUGGCCAGACUGCCGUUGACAAAACGGAGGAAGGUGGGGAUGACGUCAAAUCAUCAUGCCCUUUAUGACUUGGGCUACACACGUACUACAAUGGCGUUAAACAAAGAGAAGCAAGACCGCGAGGUGGAGCAAAACUCAGAAACAACGUCCCAGUUCGGACUGCAGGCUGCAACUCGCCUGCACGAAGUCGGAAUUGCUAGUAAUCGCGGAUCAGCAUGCCACGGUGAAUACGUUCCCGGGCCUUGCACACACCGCCCGUCA
rnacentral:rRNA from 1 species